rnacentral:tRNA from 1 species
AAGACAAUAGCAUAAUUGGUAAUGCUCGCUUCUCAUGAAAGUAAAAAUAAAGGUUCGAAUCCUUUUUGUCUUA